AUUAUCCCAGAACACAGCAACAGAUCACCUACAAGUCCAAAAAACUGAAGCAGACCAUCCAAAACGCAGAAAAAAGCCAAGGUAGGACCAAAAUGCCUCAAACCAGGGAUAGUAAACCCUUGAAGGGUGCCAGUCGGCUCCCACAGAAGUGAAAGGAAGGGACAAAACCAAUCAAAAAGGGUUCAAACAAGAACUUUCGAAAAAUCACCCGAUUUUGACGAAAAAUCAAAAAAAUUGGAAAAAGCAAUCAAGAAUGAUCAAAACAUCAAAAGGAGAUUACAGGAUGAAUACCCAUGAAAUUUCGAGCAUAUUGACAAUUUUUUAUUUUUAUUUAUUUAUUUAUUUGUUGCUGUUGCUAUAGACAUACCUACCUACAAGAACAAGGAGAGAAGAAUGAGAGGAAUCAUCUUCAAGGAGGAAGAUAUUGCUUUGAUACCAUGUUGAAUGUGUAGAUGAUGAGAAGAAGAAGAAGAACAACAACAACAACGAGAGAGAGAGAAAGUUGCUGCAUAUUCCUUAAUUCAAAAGCAUAGGGUUUCCCCCUUGCGCACAACUAUUUAUACUAAAAAGCAUAAUACAUAAAGACCAAACUACCCCUAACACUUAACACAAGAUUACAUGCCCCAUUGUGCUCAUUUUGUGUGUUCUGUUUUGGACACUACAAUCUCCAAAAUUUCAUGAAUUCAUAAUUUAUGUUAGUUAAAUUUUCUAAAAUUAUACUUCGUGUCAGUCUUUUGAAUUCAAAUUAUCAAUUUUUCAGAUAUGAAGUUGAUACGGAUGCAUUUCUUUCUGUACUUGCCCUUCAACCUCUUCCAAAAAUGGCUUCUGUGCCCACCAUUGUUGAGGUUGCAGAUUCCAAUACAUGUGAGCUCUUAAAGUCAAUCUCAGGAUUAAAAGUACAGCCUGUG